rnacentral:rRNA from 1 species
UACGAAGGGGGCUAGCGUUGCUCGGAAUCACUGGGCGUAAAGCGCACGUAGGCGGAUUUUUAAGUCAGGGGUGAAAUCCUGGAGCUCAACUCCAGAACUGCCUUUGAUACUGGGAAUCUCGAGUCCGGGAGAGGUGAGUGGAACUGCGAGUGUAGAGGUGAAAUUCGUAGAUAUUCGCAAGAACACCAGUGGCGAAGGCGGCUCACUGGCCCGGUACUGACGCUGAGGCGCGAAAGCGUGGGGAGCAAACAGG